GACGAUGCUAAUUUCCACAGGCUAAAGAGCUCGCGAGCGUGUUCUUCCAGGAAAAUCGGAAUGGCUGCAAACGAGGAACUGUCAGCGCGGUUUGGAGCUAAAGUCCACCUGAUCCUGGACGUGAAAAUCGCUGGCUCCGACAACAUGUACGCUGCCUCUGAGAACGCGGCCGACGAGAUGUGGCUGUAGCAUUUUCGCGAGUGGCAAGUAACUUCUUUUUGGAGUUUCUAGCAUUCUUUUAUAACGCACAGUCUUCCUGCUUCAAGACGCACGUAAAGAGAAUGAGGCCAGGGAUAAUAAACCAAGAGCAGCAAACCUUUCGAGCUCGGGAGGAUGGCUUUGUUCUUGGGCUCCUUGAAAACUUCGAUCCUGGCCUUCGUCGUCACAGCAGCUGUGCUCCAACAAGUUAGCGCUGUAAGUUUGAUGCUUGAUAAUCACCGCAUCACUUCUUGACGUCUUGUCUCGUCUCUGUGGCUUGCAGAACUGCGAUGUCAAAACUUUCAACAGUACCGAGUGCCGGGACAUCCACUACGACAGCAUCGAAGAUUACCUCUACGUGACUUGCCGCGCGCACGGCAACUGGUUUAGUGACCGCUACCACCUCCAGGUUCUCUUGCAGUACGAGAACAACGAGCUCCAGUGCGGGG
rnacentral:lncRNA from 1 species